rnacentral:rRNA from 1 species
GACAGAGGGUGCAAACGUUGUUCGGAAUUACUGGGCGUAAAGCGCGUGUAGGCUGCUUGGAAAGUCGGAUGUGAAAGCCCUGGGCUCAACCCAGGAAGUGCAUUCGAAACUUUCAAGCUGGAGUCUCGGAGAGGGAAGCGGAAUUCUCGGUGUAGAGGUGAAAUUCGUAGAUAUCGAGAGGAACACCGGCGGCGAAGGCGGCUUCCUGGACGAUGACUGACGCUGAGACGCGAAAGCGUGGGGAGCAAACAGG